GGCCUGGUGGUGUAUUGGGAACACAUCCUCUUCAAUUACAAUUGCACCAUGAAGAAUUGAGAGGAAGAACCCCGUUCGAUUCGGGGUCGGGUCA